CAGCUACCACUUACAGAUGGACCCGCGGCGCAUUAGCUAGUUGGUGAGGUAACGGCUCACCAAGGCGACGAUGCGUAGCCGACCUGAGAGGGUGAUCGGCCACACUGGGACUGAGACACGGCCCAGACUCCUACGGGAGGCAGCAGUAGGGAAUCUUCCGCAAUGGACGAAAGUCUGACGGAGCAACGCCGCGUGAGUGAUGAAGGUUUUCGGAUCGUAAAACUCUGUUGUUAGGGAAGAACAAGUACCGUUCGAAUAGGGCGGCACCUUGACGGUACCUAACCAGAAAGCCACGGCUAACUACGUGCCAGCAGCCGCGGUAAUACGUAGGUGGCAAGCGUUGUCCGGAAUUAUUGGGCGUAAAGCGCGCGCAGGCGGUUUCUUAAGUCUGAUGUGAAAGCCCCCGGCUCAACCGGGGAGGGUCAUUGGAAACUGGGGAACUUGAGUGCAGAAGAGGAGAGUG
rnacentral:rRNA from 1 species